GAUGAAGAAACGUAGCGAAAUGCGAUAAGUAGUGUGAAUUGCAGAAUUCAGUGAAUCAUCGAAUCUUUGAACGCACAUUGCGCCCCUUGGUAUUCCAUGGGGCAUGCCUGUUCGAGCGUCAUUUGUACCCUCAAGCUUUGCUUGGUGUUGGGUGUUUGUCCCGCGUUGCGCGUGGACUCGCCUUAAAGCGAUUGGCAGCCGGCAUAUUGGCCUUGGAGCGCAGCACAUUUUGCGCUUCUAGUCAUGAAUGUUGGCGUCCAUUAAGCCUAUACAUUUGCUCUUGACCUCGGAUCAGGUAGGGAUACCCGCUGAACUUAAGCAUAUCAAUAAGCGGAGGA
rnacentral:misc_RNA from 1 species